rnacentral:rRNA from 1 species
AUUGAACGCUGGCGGCAGGCCUAACACAUGCAAGUCGAGCGGAGCGGCGGACGGGGGAGUAAUGCCUAGGAAUCUGCCUGGUAGUGGGGGAUAACGUCCGGAAACGGGCGCUAAUACCGCAUACUAUCAGAUGAGCCUAGGUCGGAUUAGCUAGGAGGUGGGGUACUGUCUCACCUAGGCGACGAUCCCUCGCUGGUCUGAGAGGAUGACCAGCCACACGGGAACUGAGACACGGUCCAGACGCCGACGGGAGGCAGCAGUGGGGAAUAGUGCACAAUGGGGGAAAGGCUGAUGGAGCCAUGUCGAGUGAAUGAAGAAGGCCUGCGGGUUGGAAAGUACUGUAAGCGGGGAGGCGGUACCCGAAGAAGAAGCACCGGCUAACUACGUGCCAGCAGCCGCGGUAAUUC